UUUAUCAUGGAGAUUAAUAAAUUUCUUACUUUCUGGAGAUACGGUAAAUAUAAAUUGGUUUAAAAAAAAAAUUGCUUUUUUCUUUUUAGAGAAAGAAGGAGCAAUUUUGUCUCAAGUGUUAGCUUCUCCGUAAUUGAUCUUGUCUUCUUUUGGCUGAUGUUGCACGUGGGCUGCUGAUUAAGAUUUUUCUAAUACUAGCAUGAAGGACUUCUCCAAAUUGAAGAAAUAAAGUAGAAUUGAAGAAUGAAAUUCGCAAUGAAUUAAGUUUAUAAGUUUAUAAGUAUAUUUCUACAAGAUUAUUUUCAACUAUGUUGCUUAUACGUUCACUUGGGUCUUCUUCUUCCACUCUUCAAAGCUGCAAAAGAUCAAGCAUAGGGCCUAAGGGGAUGGAGUCACCCCUUGAGAGAUAAUCAACCUUGAAUCACUUCUCUCUAAUGCUCUCCCGGGCGCUGUGUGUCCUGGAAAGGAAAUGACCAUCAGUGAAUGAUGGGUUAGGCCCCUGAAUCACCGAGGAUAAUCAUAUCAGGACCCACCACCUUUGGACAAUGACCUUAUAAUGACAUAUUGCCGAUCUAUAAAUUAUAUCUAUAAAUUAGAGAACCUUCCAACUUUCUAAAUGUUUAAAGACAAAUUUCCAAGAGCCUUGUCUGCCUGUCGACCAGACCACAAAGCCAUUCAUCGUUGGGCUUAACAUUAUGGAAACUGAUUUGAAUCAAAACGGAAAAUGUCAGAAAAAUUGGAAACUUUCCUGGAGAUUUCUAAAGAUUUGUUAUUUAAAUUUCUAUGGAAACUUAAAUGGUAGAUAGAUGGUUUGAAAAAAGAAAAUUUUUUUGUUCUCUUUCAACGAAGACAAAUUUUCUAUCAGAUUUGAAAGAAAGAAUCUUUUCUUUAUUAGAGUUCAUUGAAUCAUUCUUAGUAUCGAUUAUAAAUAAGUUACCACUUUUGUUUAAUACAUAAUCUGAAAACUCUUUUAGAUUAUACCAACGCGUAUAUAUAGUUGAAAAUUAGAAUUUUCGUUUCGUACGAUAAAGGCAUGUAAUUACAUUUCUAGAAUUCUUCUCGUGCACAAAAACUUAUAUUCUUUUCUACUAUAAUACACGAAUAAUAUACGAAUUUAUAAUUUACAAUUAUUUAUUGUUCACGGUAAAUUUUUUAUUAUUUUUAAAUUAUUUUUAAAUUCGUUCGAACUUAUCCCUCGAAUAUUACGAAUUAAAUGGUGAUUUUUUUUUUUUCAGGUUCGGAGGAGAGAGACUUUCGUAAUACAUCUAUCACUUUCGUACAAGUUCGAUUAUCGAUCUGAAAGAUUACCACGAUCGUUUUCAUUGGCGAAGACAGAGAACUUUAGGAGGACGGUUGAUUGGUUCAGUGGUGGUAUUAGCUUGAACUUCCACGGCUGAUCGUGCGAUAGGACCCAAUGUGUAUUCAACCGUAGGAAGAUACGUGGAUUUUGAAUUCGAGGGAUGGCAUUCGCUGAAAUAGAUCGUUCGAGGCGGGAUCUCGAUAGUUUCACCUGUUAAACGUAAUUCGUUCCUUCGAUAAGAUUCAAUAAGAUUCCGAUCCUCUUCGAUUCGUCCAUUUAAUUUCACUAUUAUAAGAACACUUGUACUUUGACUUUUAAUCUUUUAAUCACGAGUCGUUGCACGAUUUUACGCGUAAUUUAUCUUUCAUCCUGAUGAAAAGAAUAUUUAUAUCGAUCAGACGAAUCAAUUAUCGCGAAUAGA
rnacentral:lncRNA from 1 species